rfam:Clostridium sp. C105KSO13 isolate C105KSO131 genome assembly, contig: {contig159}
CAUACAAUUUAAAAGAAGGCUUUUCCGGCAUUGAUAUUUAUUAUGGCGGAGGGCAGGGGAAGCAGGUGCGAAUCCUGCACAAUACCCGUUGCUGUAUAAGAAGAGUAGUAUUCCAUUAGGUCACUGUGAGAUUACUUAUAGGAAGGCGGAAUACUGCGGUGAGGCUUGAGUCAGAAUACCCGCUUUUAAAUGAAUCUGAAU